rnacentral:tRNA from 1 species
GGCCACGUGGCCGAGAGGUUAGGCAGCGGUCUGCAAAACCGCGUACAUCGGUUCGAUUCCGGUCGUGGCCU